rnacentral:rRNA from 1 species
UACGGAGGGUGCAAGCGUUGUCCGGAAUCAUUGGGCGUAAAGCGCGUGUAGGCGGCUCGGUAAGUCCGCUCUGAAAGUCCAGGGCUCAACCCUGGGAUGCGGGUGGAUACUGCCGGGCUAGAGUCCGGAAGAGGCGAGUGGAAUUCCUGGUGUAGCGGUGAAAUGCGCAGAUAUCAGGAGGAACACCAAUAGCGAAGGCAGCUCGCUGGGACGGUACUGACGCUGAGACGCGAAAGCGUGGGGAGCAAACAGG